GGGGAUUAUGCCUUGGCACUAAAACACACCAAACACACACAGGCAUGCUCACUCGCCCACUUUGCAUCCUUCCUAAAUACAGCCAUCGCUCUCUCCAUCUCUUGCGCCUUGUCUCUCAUGGAGGCUAACCUUGAAAUAUGAGUGUUGCAGGGAUUCACCGUGGAUUUCUCAGGAAGUAUGGUGGCUUUAUGUUCAAACAAUGGAAGGAGAGGUACCUCAUAUUGACAGCUGACGGCUGUGUGUUGGUGAGUCGCGAUGCAGUGUCCCCUCCUGACCAGAUGGUGGCAUUGCAGGGGGGCUGUGAGGCCAUCGUGGAGGGCAGGGAGAUCCUGGACCUGCCCAAGCUGCCCUCUGGAGGACGCAGGGACUGCUGCUUUGCUCUGAUCCUGCCUCAGGAGAAGUUCCUGCUGCUACUGGCUGACAACGCAGAAGACUGCAGGUCAGUUGGCAGAGCAAUGUGAGAUAGAGGCUGGGGUGGGAUGGGGAUUACUGGAGUUGGCAGCAUUGUGCAUUGUCAGCGAUUUACUUUCUUUCAUCUCACGUUGAUGAAACUAUGUUCUGAGUACUACUGAAGUAAUAAUGUGUCAUAUUCUCUCCUCAGUCAAUGGGUCAACAUGCUGAGGAAAGUGCGAGAAAGUGUAUCAUCACCAAUGUCCUCCUGUAGACACCAUAAUGCUUCAACACGAUGCAUCACUGACAGAGACCCGCUUCCAGACCCCAUUUCUGACAAAGAUCCCCCAACUCCACCGCUGAGUGAUAUGGAGAUCUUAUCUCCUGGGCCAAGAUACCCUGGGCCAAGAUCUUCUGGGCCAAGAUCUCCUGGGCCGAGAUCUCCUGGGCCAACCUCUCCUGGCUUAAUCUCUGCUGGGCCAAAUUAUCAUGGGCCAACAACAGGUGACAUUCAACAAAAGGAAAAUGGCCAGAAAUCUCCCCACAUGAAGAGGGACAAAGGGACUAGUCAUUCGGUGGGCUGUCUGCGCCAUGGCACCAGCCAUGAUGCCCAGGCAGUGAGGGCUGUGUAUCUGCUGAUGGGAGGGGCCGCUGCUUCCUCUGCCAUGGGUUACCUGGGUGCAUGCUCUCCUGCUAAUCCUGACGUAAGGCCUCCUGACCUGCCGCCCACCACAGACUUCUCUAACCUGGGCUCAGCAGGGGCUUACCACUCUUGCAACCAGACUGUUGUUGACUCUCCUCACUUCCACAGCUUUGACUUUGAGGGGGCAGACUCAGACUUUGAUGCCUUUGACUGUGGGGGAUUUUCAUUCUAGGGGGGAAAUGAUGAUUUACCUACCGUCAAGACUUUCAAUCCUCCUGUUCAUCCUUUAUGAAAUACAAGAGCAAUAAUUGCCUCUUAUUGUUGCCACCCUUUGUAAGUGAUAUGUACUGAUGCAAAACAUUUGAGCUAUUUUAUCUUAUAUUUGAUAUAAUUUAUUUGGUUACAACCUGUCUGCUGUCAUCCUCUGGCUAUGGAGAGAGCGUGGAUUUCUUGAUGCCAUUUUAAAUAACGUAAUGUAAGCAUACCUUGUCUUUAUAACUAUUUGCCCCACACCUAUCUCCUUAACUCUAUCUCCUUAACUGCUCUGCCAUGUGUUAGCUAAGUUCAUUGUCAUUGUUUUGUUUCCUUAUUUAUAUGUUGCUUAAAUAAAUGCCAGGGUUCGAUAGAAAAUGUUUUGUGCUUUCUUGUCUCUUUCAUUUCCAUAGCGAGCAAUACGCAGCCUUGUGUAGCCUAGCACACAUUCAUGCAUCAUCACAUUAGGGGUGAGUGGGGUAAGUGGAGCAAUUUUUUACAUUCAGCGUCACUCUGUCAAGGG
ensembl:lncRNA